rnacentral:rRNA from 1 species
GACGAACGCUGGCGGCGUGCUUAACACAUGCAAGUCGAACGGAACUCUUUGGAUCAAGGCUUCGGCCAAGUGAAUUUGAGUUUAGUGGCGGACGGGUGAGUAACGCGUGAGGAACCUGCCUUUCAGAGGGGGACAACAGUUGGAAACGACUGCUAAUACCGCAUAACGCAUAUUGAUCGCAUGGUCGAUAUGCCAAAGAUUUAUCGCUGAAAGAUGGCCUCGCGUCUGAUUAGCUAGUUGGUGAGGUAACGGCCCACCAAGGCGACGAUCAGUAGCCGGACUGAGAGGUUGACCGGCCACAUUGGGACUGAGAUACGGCCCAGACUCCUACGGGAGGCAGCAGUGGGGAAUAUUGGGCAAUGGGCGCAAGCCUGACCCAGCAACGCCGCGUGAAGGAAGAAGGCUUUCGGGUUGUAAACUUCUUUAUAAGGACGAAACAAAUGACGGUACCUUAUGAAUAAGCCACGGCUAACUACGUG